CUCCAGGUAUUUCAGGGUUAGUGUAAUGAAGUGUUAUUAUUCCCAUUUUUACACACGGUGACGAGAGGCAGGGAAGGCCGAAUGACUCGUACCUUAGGUUACCAGGAGGACUAUGACAGAGUAACGAUAGAAUCCAGGUAUUCCCAGUGCCGACAACACAAGUACUCACACAUCACUUGGAGUCACUUGCAUCGCUGCCCUGGUCUAAACAGACACGGUCACUGCUGCCACAACACAAUUUGCACUGAUAAAAGCUGUUCUUGCACUAGGGUGGUACCUGGCCAGACCGGCCAAAGCAGCAGCCCCAGCACCAUAGGUGACGUCCCUCCUCUCAAACUUUCCUGGAUGGUGACUCCCCGCCCGGUGGUAGGGAGGCUGGAGCAUGGACUGGAAGUAUUGUUGGAGUCACUGGGAGAAAAAUGAUGGGACAGCCAACAGUAUUGCCCUCCUUGCAAAAAACUGUACACACAAUAGGUUUGGGGAAAGCAAACAGGAGGGAAGGUCCACCCGACGUCCCCUAGCACUAAGGGAUGUGAUAUAGAGAACUAUGUAUUCACGGUCCAUGACAUAAAUUGCUUGCUGUUGUUGU